UGGCUCAGGACGAACGCUGGCGGCGUGCUUCAUACAUGCAAGUCGGACGAGAAGUUACCUUCGGGUAAUGGAAAGUGGCGGACGGGUGAGUAAUGUGUAGAGAAUCUGCCCUAGAGUGGGGGACAACAGUUGGAAACGACUGCUAAUACCGCAUAUGAGCGUAGCUGGAAUGCUAUUCUUGAAAACUUCGGUGCUCUGGGAUGAGUCUGCAUCUGAUUAGCUAGUUGGCGGUGUAAUGGACCACCAAGGCGACGAUCAGUAGCUGGUUUGAGAGGAUGAUCAGCCACAAUGGGACUGAGACACGGCCCAUACUCCUACGGGAGGCAGCAGUAGGGAAUUUUGCGCAAUGGGCGAAAGCCUGAACCGCAGCAACGCCGCGUGAUUGAAAAAGCCCUUCGGGGUGUAAAGAUCUGUCAGUAGGGACGAAACUUGACGGUACCUACAGAGGAAGCAUCGGCUAACUCCGUGCCAGCCGCUGC
rnacentral:rRNA from 1 species